CACGGAGUUAGCCGAUGCUUUUUCUUCGGAUACACGCAGUCCGGGACACGUCCCGGGCUUUGUUCUCCGACAAAAGAGGUUUACAACCCAUAGGGCCGUCUUCCCUCACGCGGCUUGGCUGGUUCAGGAUCUCUCCCAUUGACCAAUAUUCCUCACUGCUGCCUCCCGUAGGAGUCUGGUCCGUGUCUCAGUACCAGUGUGGGGGACCUUCCUCUCAGAACCCCUACGCAUCGUCGCCACGGUGGGCCGUUACCCCGCCGUCAAGCUAAUGCGCCGCAUGCCCAUCCUCUUCCGAUGAAUCUUUCCUCGAUCUCGGAUGCCCGAAACCGAUAUACGCGGGAUUAGCCUCCCUUUCGGAAGGUUGUCCCCCUGAAGAGGGCAGGUUGCAUACGUGUUACUCACCCGUGCGCCGGUCGCCGGCAAGGAAAGCAAGCUUCCCUCCCGAUGCCCCUCGACUUGCAUGUGUUAAGCCUGCCGCUAGCGUUCAUCCUGAGCCAGGAUCAAACUCU
rnacentral:rRNA from 1 species